GCUCCUAGUACGAGAGGACCGGAGUGGACGCAUCACUGGUGUUCGGGUUGUCAUGCCAAUGGCACUGCCCGGUAGCUAAAUGCGGAAGAGAUAAGUGCUGAAAGCAUCUAAGCACGAAACUUGCCCCAAGAUGAGUUCUCCCUGACCCUUUAAGGGUCCUGAAGGAACGUUGAAGACGACGACGUUGAUAGGCCGGGUGUGUAAGCGCAGCGAUGCGUUGAGCUAACCGGUACUAAUGAACCGUGAGGCUUAACCUUACAACGCCGAAGCUGUU
rnacentral:rRNA from 1 species